AAAUUGAAGAGUUUGAUCAUGGCUCAGAUUGAACGCUGGCGGCAGGCCUAACACAUGCAAGUCGAACGGUAACAGGAAGCAGCUUGCUGCUUUGCUGACGAGUGGCGGACGGGUGAGUAAUGUCUGGGAAACUGCCCGAUGGAGGGGGAUAACUACUGGAAACGGUAGCUAAUACCGCAUAACGUCGCAAGACCAAAGAGGGGGACCUUCGGGCCUCUUGCCAUCGGAUGUGCCCAGAUGGGAUUAGCUUGUUGGUGAGGUAACGGCUCACCAAGGCGACGAUCCCUAGCUGGUCUGAGAGGAUGACCAGCCACACUGGAACUGAGACACGGUCCAGACUCCUACGGGAGGCAGCAGUGGGGAAUAUUGCACAAUGGGCGCAAGCCUGAUGCAGCCAUGCCGCGUGUAUGAAGAAGGCCUUCGGGUUGUAAAGUACUUUCAGCGGGGAGGAAGGUGUUGUGGUUAAUAACCGCAACAAUUGACGUUACCCGCAGAAGAAGCACCGGCUAACUCCGUGCCAGCAGCCGCGGUAAUACGGAGGGUGCAAGCGUUAAUCGGAAUUACUGGGCGUAAAGCGCACGCAGGCGGUCUGUCAAGUCGGAUGUGAAAUCCCCGGGCUCAACCUGGGAACUGCAUUCGAAACUGGCAGGCUUGAGUCUCGUAGAGGGGGGUAGAAUUCCAGGUGUAGCGGUGAAAUGCGUAGAGAUCUGGAGGAAUACCGGUGGCGAAGGCGGCCCCCUGGACGAAGACUGACGCUCAGGUGCGAAAGCGUGGGGAGCAAACAGGAUUAGAUACCCUGGUAGUCCACGCCGUAAACGAUGUCUAUUUGGAGGUUGUGCCCUUGAGGCGUGGCUUCCGGAGCUAACGCGUUAAAUAGACCGCCUGGGGAGUACGGCCGCAAGGUUAAAACUCAAAUGAAUUGACGGGGGCCCGCACAAGCGGUGGAGCAUGUGGUUUAAUUCGAUGCAACGCGAAGAACCUUACCUGGUCUUGACAUCCACAGAACUUUCCAGAGAUGGAUUGGUGCCUUCGGGAACUGUGAGACAGGUGCUGCAUGGCUGUCGUCAGCUCGUGUUGUGAAAUGUUGGGUUAAGUCCCGCAACGAGCGCAACCCUUAUCCUUUGUUGCCAGCGGUCCGGCCGGGAACUCAAAGGAGACUGCCAGUGAUAAACUGGAGGAAGGUGGGGAUGACGUCAAGUCAUCAUGGCCCUUACGACCAGGGCUACACACGUGCUACAAUGGCAUAUACAAAGAGAAGCGACCUCGCGAGAGCAAGCGGACCUCAUAAAGUAUGUCGUAGUCCGGAUUGGAGUCUGCAACUCGACUCCAUGAAGUCGGAAUCGCUAGUAAUCGUGGAUCAGAAUGCCACGGUGAAUACGUUCCCGGGCCUUGUACACACCGCCCGUCACACCAUGGGAGUGGGUUGCAAAAGAAGUAGGUAGCUUAACCUUCGGGAGGGCGCUUACCACUUUGUGAUUCAUGACUGGGGUGAAGUCGUAACAAGGUAACCGUAGGGGAACCUGCGGUUGGAUCACCUCCUUA
rnacentral:rRNA from 1 species